UUACGACCAUAUCACGUUGAAAUACCGGUUCCCGUACGAUCAACGAAGUUAAGGACCGCCGUGCCUUGUCAUCACUGAGAUAGGUGACCAUCUGGGAAUACCAGGUGCUGGA